UUUCUAGUCAAGUGGGACAAGAUUCAGCGCUCUUGAUACCAGAGGCAUUAAGGAAGAGCGGUGAUCCAUCUUGGUUCUUUCUGGUGUCCCAAGGCACGAUCCCUCUAAUAGAAUCUCGAGGAACAAAUUGGCCACUGGAGACUCGACAUUUUGGCACAGGCCUCCUGCAACAGCUCCAGCAGGAAAUAUGAUAAACUUCAAUAUGAUCCACA